CGGAAUACGAACACGCACAGAAAUACACGGGGACUUCGGAUGAAACAGCUGUUCCACCUCGCGACAAUUCGUAAGAGGCAGCUCAGUGAUAUGUGUAAAAUAUUCUUCUCAACAGUAACCACAGUGGUGGGCCAAUCCGGGCGCACUGGCGGCGCUGCUGUCGCAAGCACAGACGCGCGUCAACGUGACGGACGCCGGGGGUCGGACGGCUCUGCACGGCGCGGUGCUGGAGCUGGCCGGACAGGCGCCUGGAGAAGUGGUGGACGCGCUGGAGCGCUGCGUGCAGCUGCUGGUGCGCUGCCCGCGGCUCGACUUCAACUGCGGCGACACGCUCGGCUUCUCUGCGCUGUACCUCGCGGCGCAGAAGCGCAGCCACCGCGGCGUCGCCGUCCUCAUUGACAAGUGCAGUGCUGCCACUCGUCCGCAAGCUGGGGACUCAGAUGUGUGUGGCUACUGGGUUCCUGGCCGCCUAACAGAAUACCCUAAAGAGCAACGAAGGACCAUCUGUGCGGAACUGCUUGUGCGUUAUGUGGCUGAUCGUGACAGUUUAUUGUUGAACCUCGUCACAGGCAGUGAAACAUGGAUUCAUCACUUCGAAGCGGAAACAAAAAGGCAACCCACACUACCAUUCUUCCGAAGAAAAACUUCAAAGCCACACUCUCAGCCGGUAAGAUUACAUUAGAUUAGAUUAAUUAUUCAUUCCAUAGACCCACAA